CGGUUGAGAUGAUUCUCUAGAAUCAUCCAACCCUCUCCACUCACUCUCAUCACACUAUCUUUCCUCUCACUCUCCUCAAAUCGAUCUCUCUCUCUCUCUCUUUCAAUCUCGCAUUGUCUUCCCUCUCCUCAAACCGAUCUCGCUCUCUCACUCUCGCAUUGUCUUCCCUCUUUUCACCGAUCUCUAUACGCUUCUCUCUCUCUCUCUCUCCCUCCGUCUAUAUACAUAUCAUAUAUAUAUAUGCUUGGAUUUUUUGUUUAUUUUUCUGGUUAUUGAUGUGGAGGUGGUCGCGAUUUUUCAAACUCAGGUCUCGCGAUGGCUUCAAACCGAAUCUUCGAAGAACUCAAGCAUCUCCAGAUCUUCGAACAACUCAGGUCUAUACUCUCCGAUUUUUCGUAAUUAUUUAUUUUGAUUUUUGGUUUAAUUUUUGUUGAUCCAACUAUUUUGUUCAUCCAUUUAUUUUAUUUUGACAUUUAUUUUGACCUUUAAAGAACAUCCAUCUGAUUUUGGUUUGGUUUAUUGUCAUAAAAUCCAUUUGAUUUUUACACUCCCAUUUGCAUCGACUGAUUUGGUGAUAAAUGAUUAAAAAAAAUGAUUCUGAAAAAUGAUUUGGGUUUGAUUCUGAAAACGAACAAAAAAAAUGAUUCUGAAAAAUGAUUUGGUGAUAAAUGAUUUUGUGAAUUUGGCAAAAAAAUUAUAUAAAUUGGGUUUGAUUCUGAUAUUUGGGUUUGAUUAUGAAUUUGUUGGGUUUUCUACUAUUUCAAAUUUGUUUCUUCAAUUGAAUUUGGUGCCAAAAAAUCAGUUGAUAAUUGCUGAUCUGGCAAGUUCGGCAACUGCUAUUCAACCUACCAAAUUUGAGAAUAGAAAUGACAUAUGCUAUCUUUGACAAGUAGAAUAACAGGCCAUUAAAGACUCUAUUUUUAUCGUUCUUGUCAAAUUUUAACUUUGACAAGUUGAAUAACAACUCCAUUAGAGACGUCCUCACUUGUUGAAUUUAUGUAUCAAACCUUGUCAUCUGUUUUUUUUUUUUUCGCACUCACUCGUUAAAUUUAUGUGUCGAAGCUUGUCAUUUAUUUUUUUAUACGUCAGUCACUUGUUGAAUUCACUUUUUAAAUCAAGUGAUCUAUUAGCUUAUUAUAAAAUCUAAAGCAAUUCUCUCUUUCACAUUGGAAUGUGUACGAACAGGGUUAGAAAAUUUUAGAUGGAUGUAGACAUUGUCUGACUCUGGGCCAUCACCCCAUCAAUCACUAUCACCACUUCAAUCUUUGGACCUGAUAACACCCUAACAUGAUUUGUAGUUCCAAAAAUGCUAACAUGAUUUGUAGUUCCAAAAAUGCUUCCGACCUCUAAAACUUGAUCACUAAAUCACCACUAAUGACGUGGCCGCCAACGUGAAAAGCUGAGGCAAACUCGCCCAUUUCUCCCUCUUUUCAUUUCAAAUUUCAAAUUCAUUUUCACAAAACAUUUGAAGACUCACUCUCUCUAUUCUUCCUUCUCUUCUCUUCUCUUCUCUUCUCUUCUCUGCUGUGCCUCUUUGUCGAGGAGCUCCCAACGAGGGUAGCUCUCCAACCCCGGCGACGAUUGAGGUUGAACGCAGCUUUUACAACCCCGACGAGCGCAGCUUCUCACGAGAACGACGAGCGAGUCACGCACGACGACCGACGACGACCGAGUCACUCUCCGUCUUCACAGAUUUGUCUGCGCAGAUGUCAACUUCAAGUGUUAACGGCAGUACAUCAGAUCAAUUGACAUAUUGCAAUAGAAAUUGUCCUCAAUGUCG